AAACUUUCAACAGCGGAUCUCUUGGUUCUGGCAUCGAUGAAGAACGCAGCAAAAUGCAAUAAGUAAUGUGAAUUGCAGAAUUCAGUGAAUCAUCGAAUCUUUGAACGCACAUUGCGCCCGCCAGUAUUCUGGCGGGCAUGCCUGUUCGAGCGUCAUUU
rnacentral:rRNA from 1 species